rnacentral:lncRNA from 1 species
CUAUGAUACAUUCACCAAGUUUUUUUGACUUUAGGAUAAUCUUUGUAUCCAAUGCCCACCGUAAAUAAUUAUCUCCAAAGAGAUUUAGAGCAGCAAAAUUUAGGUUGAUUUUCGACAUCUCAAAUCAUAUAUCACUCAAUAUUUAGGUAUAAUUUUCAUGCGGCCUUACUCUUAAAAACAAUCAAUUCGGAUUUCAAUCUUGUGAAGACAAUGAGACUAUCAAUCUUAAAGGUAUUUAAUCAAUCAGUCAAUUUCUAGCAAG